rnacentral:rRNA from 1 species
CACGAAAACUUAGAAACAAACURGGAUUAGAUACCCYACUAUGCUAAGCACUAAACACUGAGAAAGCACCAUACAACACUCUCCGCCAGAGGACUACAAAUGAAAAAUUUUAAACUUAAAGGACUUGACGGUGUCCCAUAUCAACCUAGAGGAGCCUGUCCUAUAAUCGAUACCCCUCGCUUUACCUAACCUUAACUAGCAUUUUCAGCCUAUAUACCGCCGUCGACAGCUUACCCCAUGAGGGUAAAAUAGUAAGCAUAAUAGUCUACCACUCGUACGUCAGGUCAAGGUGUAGCAAAUGUUAAGGAAGAGAUUGGCUACAUUUUUUAUUUUAAAAAAUACGGAAAGUAUCAUGAAACAAUACAUGAAGGCGGAUUUAGAAGUAAAAUAAAUUAGAGACUUUAUUUUAAUAUUGCUCUGGGACGCGUACACACCGCCCGUCACCCUCCUCAAUUAUAAACCAAACAUAUAUAAACCAGCUAAAUCUAAACUAGAGGAGGUAAGUCGUAACACGGUAAG